GCAAUGCUUCGGUUGCCAAACCAAGGACUGCAAUCACGCCCAAAGAAACUCAAACUUCAUUGCCAAACAGUUCGAUUCCAGACGAAGCCGACGCUUCGGCUGCCGUACUAAGCUCAGGAAUACCUGAAGAAAGUAACUAAUCUCGUGGCAAAGAUGUUUAUUUGCACAAUGAUGGCAAUUUAAUGAUUUGGAAUAAUGAACAGGUAAUAACUAUUUAGUAGAGUAGUUAGUUAUUU